rnacentral:rRNA from 1 species
GUAGGGAAUAUUGCGCAAUGGACGAAAGUCUGACGCAGCGACGCCGCGUGAGUGAUGAAGGCCUUAAGGUCGUAAAGCUCUGUUGAAUGGGAAGAAAAAAAUGACGGUACCAUUCGAGGAAGGACCGGCUAACUUCGUGCCAGCAGCCGCGGUAAUACGAGGGGUCCUAGCGUUGUUCGGAAUCAUUGGGCGUAAAGGGUGUGUAUGUGGCGAUGUAAGUCAGGUGUGAACGCCCCGGGCUCAACCCGGGAAGGGCACUUGAUACUGCGUGGCUUGAGUACCGAAGGGGGUAGUGGAAUUCCAGGUGUAGUGGGGAAAUACGUAGAUAUAUGGAGAAACACCGGUGGCGAAGGCGGCUACCUGGUCGAGUACUGACACUGAGACACGAAAGCAUGGGGAUCAAACAGGAUUAGAUACCCGGGUAGUCC